rnacentral:tRNA from 47 species
GCGAAAGUGGCGGAAUUGGUAGACGCACUGGAUUUAGGUUCCAGCGCCGCAAGGCGUGAGAGUUCGAGUCUCUCCUUUCGCACCA